CCUACGGGAGGCAGCAGUGGGGGAUAUUGCACAAUGGGGGGAACCCUGAUGCAGCGACGCCGCGUGGGUGAAGGAGUGCUUCGGCAUGUAAAGCCCUAUCGGCAGGGAAGAAGCAAGACGGUACCUGACUAAGAAGCCCCGGCUGACGACGUGCCAGCAGCCGCGGUACUACGUAGGGGGCGAGCGUUAUCCGGAUUCACUGGGUGUAAGGGGAGCGUAGACGGCCAUGCAAGCCAGGGGUGAAAGCCCGGGGCCCAACCCCUGGACUGCCCUUGGAACUGCAUGGCUUGAGUGCGGGAGGGGCAGGCGGAAUUCCUGGUGUAGCGGUGAAAUGCGUAGAUAUCAGGAGGAACACCGGCGGCGAAGGCGGCCUGCUGGACUGCGACUGACGUUGAGGCUCGAAAGCGUGGGGAGCGAACAGGAUUAGAUACCCGUGUAGUC
rnacentral:rRNA from 1 species